CAGCGUGGAAUCGGGCCAUCCACAAACAAAAGUGGGAGUGCAGGGCGGGGCUGGGCGCACACAGAAGGCUGGGAGCCGUAGCACCGCCAAAGGAGGCCGAGGGUCAGGAGAGAAGGACCAUGAAAGGUGACACUUACUCAACAGGUUACUUAACCCUGAAGCAAACCGGGAGAAAGGCUGUGACUUCCCGUCACUGAAAAGUACUUUUGCCUGAUGAGAAUAAACGUUGACCCGGACAUUCAGAAAACGGUCCUCUUACAGUGAAGUAAGAAAUUUGAUCUGAUUGGAAGAUGCUCCCCUCUGACACCCAGGCUCCGAGGGCCUCAUCCAGAGCUGGCCCAGAUCAGCUGCAGGAUUCUUGCUGACCUCGGCGUUUGUCUCUUCUAGUCUUCAGGUUCCGACAAGUGGGGGGAGGAUUAUCUCCAGUGGAAAACCAUGGGUAGAGACCAGCACCGUCUAAGCCAGAAGCCAGACGUGAUCAUGGAGCACAUGAAAGGUGGCUAGUUUCAACUGAGAUGCACUCUUUUGGAGGUAGAAUUUCUGUUGAACACUGCUGGCCAAGACCCUCCCUGAUCAGUAGCCCAAAUUCCGUGCGAAUGACUUACUACCUCAGGAACAAAGCAAUCAUUUUCCAGCACCAUCUGCCAUUGCAAUGGACCAGACGGUGGAGGCAUGUCAGAGGGCGGACACAGAAGCCUGUCAGAGCAUCUCCGAUGCUUGGCCUGAGAUACAUUUGAGUCUCUCUCUUCGCCUCGAAAAACUAAGCAAAAUCUGCAGUGUCUGCAUUGAGAGGCCGCGCCCUGCUUCAUCCCACAGCGGAAGCAGCCCCGGCUGUCAGCAUCCUGCUCUGGGCUGCUGAUGGAUGCAGCAGAGCCUGACACCCACACAGAAACCCAGGGAAGCCUGCCUCCCCGAGGUGGGCGGGGGGAACUUUCCGCUUCCUCCAACCUACAGAGGAGACUGGGGUCCGUGUGCUCUCUCUGUAACUGGGCAAGCUGGGUCCUAAAGCCACUGGUAUGGAGAGCUUACUUGUCCAACAAGCCACCUCUCUACCUCUCUUAAUUCCCGCAGGAGUUCUGUUAGCUGGACAUUGUUAGGAUGUUCCCAUUAAAGGUAUAGGUGGCCAGUCGGAACUUUGCUCCAGAAAUUAAGGCCGUUAGAAAUGUUAGUUUCUUCAUUUCUAUUAAAUGGAUUCAACCUUAA